GAUGAACGCUGGCGGCGUGCCUAAUACAUGCAAGUCGAGCGAACAGACGAGGAGCUUGCUCCUCUGACGUUAGCGGCGGACGGGUGAGUAACACGUGGAUAACCUACCUAUAAGACUGGGAUAACUUCGGGAAACCGGAGCUAAUACCGGAUAAUAUAUUGAACCGCAUGGUUCAAUAGUGAAAGACGGUUUUGCUGUCACUUAUAGAUGGAUCCGCGCCGCAUUAGCUAGUUGGUAAGGUAACGGCUUACCAAGGCAACGAUGCGUAGCCGACCUGAGAGGGUGAUCGGCCACACUGGAACUGAGACACGGUCCAGACUCCUACGGGAGGCAGCAGUAGGGAAUCUUCCGCAAAAGGCGAAAGCCUGACGGAGCAACGCCGCGUGAGUGAUGAAGGUCUUCGGAUCGUAAAACUCUGUUAUUAGGGAAGAACAAAUGUGUAAGUAACUAUGCACGUCUUGACGGUACCUAAUCAGAAAGCCACGGCUAACUACGUG
rnacentral:rRNA from 1 species